rnacentral:rRNA from 1 species
UUGAGGUGACGAGCGGCGGACGGGUGAGUAAUGUCUGGAAACUGCCUGAUGGAGGGGGAUAACUACUGAAACGGUAGCUAAUACCGCAUAACGUCGCAAGACCAAAGAGGGGACCUUCGGGCCUCUUGCCCAUCAGAUGUGCCCAGAUGGGAUUAGCUAGUAGGUGGGGUAACGGCUCACCUAGGCGACGAUCCCUAGCUGGUCUGAGAGGAUGACCAGCCACACUGGAACUGAGACACGGACCAGACUCCUACGGGAGGCAGCAGUGAGGAAUAUUGGACAAUGGGUGAGAGCCUGAUCCAGCCAUCCCGCGUGAAGGGCGACUGCCCUAUGGGUUGUAAACUUCUUUUGUAUAGGGAUAAACCUACCCUCGUGAGGGUAGCUGAAGGUACUAUACGAAUAAGCACCGGCUAACUCCGUGCCAGCAGCCGCGGUAAUACGGAGGGUGCAAGCGUUAUCCGGAUUUAUUGGGUUUAAAGGGUCCGUAGGCGGAUCUGUAAGUCAGUGGUGAAAUCUCACAGCUUAACUGUGAAACUGCCAUUGAUACUGCAGGUCUUGAGUGUUGUUGAAGUAGCUGGAAUAAGUAGUGUAGCGGUGAAA